rnacentral:rRNA from 1 species
AUGGCUCGCGCCCUCUUCAUCGUCGCGCUCCUCCUGGCCGCCGUCAUGGUGGCGCCGUUCGCGCAGGCGCGCAACGUGGUCACGGAGGACAAGAAGGCCGCCGCGAAAGAGGAGAAAGAGGCUGAAUCGCCGGCGCCCUCGGCUGUCUCGCCCGUCGAGGGGCCUGCCUCCGAGCCCUCCGCGGCGCCCGAGCCUAGCAGCUCUCGCUGA